rnacentral:rRNA from 1 species
GCGGUAGAGGAUGGCCAUGCGUCCCAUUAGCUAGUUGGUGCGGUAACGGCGCACCAAGGCCGCGAUGGGUAGGGGCCCUGAGAGGGGGAUCCCCCACACUGGUACUGAGACACGGACCAG